AUUGAACGCUGGCGGCAGGCCUAACACAUGCAAGUCGAGCGGCGCGGCGUACGGGUGAGUAAUGGCUAGGAAUCCGCCUGGUAGUGGGGGAUAACGCCCGGAAACGGGCGCUAAUACAGCAUACUAUCAGUUCAGCCUCGUUCGCAUAAGCUAGUUGGUGGGGCAAAGGCCUACAAAGGCGACGAUCCGUACCUAGUCUGAGAGGAUGAUCAGUCACACUGGAACUGAGACACGGUCCAGACUCCUACGGGAGGCAGUAGCGGGGAAUAUUGGACAAUGGGCAAAAGCCUGAUGCAGCCAUGCCGCGUGUGUGAAGAAGGUCUUCGGGUUGUAAAGCACUUUAAGUUGGGAGGCGUUACCAACAGAAUACGCACCGGCUGACUUCGUGCCAGCAGCCGCGGUAAUAC
rnacentral:rRNA from 1 species